UACGUAGGGUGCGAGCGUUGUCCGGAAUUAUUGGGCGUAAAGGGCUCGUAGGCGGCCAACUAAGUCGAAUGUGAAAUCCCCAGGCUUAACUUGGGAACUGCAUCCGAUACUGGAUGGCUUGAAUCCGGGAGAGGGAUGCGGAAUUCCAGGUGUAGCGGUGAAAUUCGUAGAUAUUGGGAAGAACACCAGUGGCGAAGGCGGCUCACUGGACCGGUUCUGACGCUGAGGCGCGAAAGCGUGGGGAGCAAACGGG
rnacentral:rRNA from 1 species